rnacentral:rRNA from 1 species
CAAUAGCGUAUAUUUAAGUUGUUGCAGUUAAAAAGCUCGUAGUUGGAUUUCGGUUAAGAGCGACCGGUCCGCCGUUUGGUGUGCACUGGUUGGUUUUAACUUCCUGUAGAGGACGUGCUCUGGGUUUAACGACCUGGACUCGGAGUCUACGUGGUUACUUUGAAAAAAUUAGAGUGUUCAAAGCGGGCUUACGCUUGAAUAUUUCAGCAUGGAAUAACACUAUAGGACUCCUGUCCUAUUUCGUUGGUCUCGGGACGGGAGUAAUGAUUAAGAGGAACAGUUGGGGGCAUUCGUAUUUCAUUGUCAGAGGUGAAAUUCUUGGAUUUAUGAAAGGCGAACUUCUGCGAAAGCAUUUGCCAAGGAUGUUUUCAUUA